GGACAGAGAGAAAUGCCGAGGAAUAGGGGCGCGGCCGCCCGGUUUCGGCGAUGGGUUAUAGGGUCCGCGUCAGCCCCGCGCCCGCACAGCCAACGUCACGCCGCAUUCUUAUUUCCAAAGACCCCUGGAGCUUGGGGUCCCACCCCAGCGGUCUUUCGGGGCGUCCCCUGCCCUUCACGCGCCGCGCCGGCUCGGCCCGAAGCGCCCUGCGGACCCGCAGCCUGGGCCGCCCCGAACCUGACGGCCCCGCGGGGGUCGGACGCGGGAGGAACGGCCUCGCUUUCAGAGACGCAGCGGGAGGGCGGUCCCCGCUGUCCCUCUGGCCGGGUCCUCAGCACGCGUUCUCCUCACUCCCAGGACUAGCCGAGCGGCGGGCGCGGACCGGGGCCUGGGGUCGGAGGCGGCGCAGCCAGAAAGGCCCCAGCGGCGCUGAGACGUUUGGGGGAAGGCGGGGGCUUCGCGUUUCGAUGGCGGGAAGCGGAAUGAGGUUGGACCGGCCGGGCCGGCGUUCAGGGACCCGGCGGGAGGAGGAGGGCUGGCGUCCUCGCGGUCAUCCAUCUGCAGCGAACCAGGCAGAGGCUUUGGGAUUAGAUCCUUGACUCCUUGCGUCAGUAGUUAAGCUUUGUGAUGGUCUGAGGUCCAUGAAGGGAUUAAAACCAGGAACUGGCUCCUUCUCCAACCACUAAAGCCUCAUCUGGGCCCCCAAGCCCUGGCUGUUCCCUGGAGCGUGACUGGAAGAUGUGAGCAGCUUUGUGCUGGAGCCCUAUUUCCAUGGGCAGAAGGAAAAUAAAGUAUGCAUUUUAUGAUACGACUCAGCUUGGAGGGAUGAAGUAGAAGGUCCUCUCUGCACCUCAUGGCAGGCUGCUGACGGCAGAUAUUUAACCGGGCUCACUGAACUGGGCAGUCAGGGAAGGGUCGGCUCCUGCUCUGUCCAGCUGUCUUCAUAAGGGACUCUGUGACACUUUUUAUAAAGAUGACUUUGAUUUCUGCAUAAGAAGGCUUCCCAAGCUUGCUGUCUAGCAGUGGCUGCUACAGGGAAUUAUUCACAUGGCAGCAAGAGAGCCCUGGCUCCCUGGACCAGGACAUUCCCUUUGUGUGUGUUGGAAUGAGAGCAGGAGGAGUGCUGGUCAGAAGCCCCUCCCCAGGGCUCUGUGACUUCAGUGUUCUCAGACGAACUGGGCCGCUCCUCUGAGCUGGGAUGCUGACCCACACUUGUCCCCGGCUCUGGCAUCCACAGGACACUG
rnacentral:antisense_RNA from 1 species